GGAAUUUUGGGCAAUGGGCGAAAGCCUGACCCAGCAACGCCGCGUGAAGGAUGAAAUCCCUCGGGAUGUAAACUUCGCAAGAACGGGAAGAAUAAACCGGUGUUAACAUCACCGGCGAUGACGGUACGGUUUGUAAGCUCCGGCUAACUCCGUGCCAGCAGCCGCGGUAAUACGGGGGGAGCAAGCGUUGUUCGGAUUUACUGGGCGUCAAGGGCGCGUAGGCGGCCACCGCAAGUCAGUUGUGAAAUCUCUGGGCUUAACCCAGAAAGGUCAACUGAUACUGCGGGGCUAGAGUGCAGAAGGGGCAACUGGAAUUCUCGGUGUAGCGGUGAAAUGCGUAGAUAUCGAGAGGAACACCUGCGGCGAAGGCGGGUUGCUGGGCUGACACUGACGCUGAGGCGCGAAAGCUAGGGGAGCGAA
rnacentral:rRNA from 1 species